UCAGGCAGAGUGGCUGUUCUGUUCUCUUAUGUUGUGAUGUUCUUGGUUGUUUGCGUUCAACUGUUGUGUUUCUGUCACCUCUACAACCCCAGCUGACAAACAUGAUGUCAAGUGUCUCAGAAAUUGCAUGCUGUACUGAUCUUUUGUAAUUAAGUAUGUACACAGAAGAUCACUGAGAAAUGAUGGAGGAAUUUCUGAGCAUGCUCCGUGAUCAUGAUGUCAGCUGGAAUUACAGGAUCUGAUGCGGCAGAUUGACAUCGCGGUGGGGCACAUGCAGCAUGAAUGGGAGGCAGAGCUUCGAACCAUGGAGCUGCGUCUGCAGAAUACGUAGGAGGAACUCCAGUCAGCCAGAGCUCUGCUCGACAAGAGGAGCUCAGAGGGUGUAGGUCAGACACAGGAGCAGGGGGAACUGCAGUGGCUGCGCUCUCAGCUGCAGAGGGCUCAGGACAGCCUACAGACACAAGAACUGGAACUGGAGAGACUUCGGCUGCUUCAGGAUGAGCUGGGAGAGUCCCUCAGGGAACAGCAGAAUAGUAGAGGUGGACUUUAGAACAUAGUGCAGAGUGUGGUGUUUAGAACACAGAGAGCACAGUGUGGUGUGGCAUGAGAAACAAAAGGAAGAGGAGGUACAUGCUACCUGGGGAGAUCCCACCUGAGAGCUUAAAGGGUUAGUUCACCCAAAAAUGACAUUUCUGUCAUUAUUUCUUAAUUUUUAUGUUGUCACAAAACCAAUCUUUUGUUCAUUUUCAGAACACAAAUGAAAAUACUUUUAAAUAUUCACCCAUCAUUUUUGAGUGAGAGUCCAUGAAACCAAAAAUGUAAAACUUCAAAAAGUACAUAAAGGCUUUGUAAAAGUGAUCCAUAUGAAUCAAGAAGUUCAGUCUUCUUAAGAGAUAUGUUCACCUUAUGUACGUAAUAUAUAUUUAAUUAAGUUGAUCUAUGCACAUAUAUAGAACAAAGGAACAUGCUUCCUUGAUGCACAAGAACUAAUGUUUACCAUAUUUCAAUUAGAGAUCGACCGAUAUGGGUUUUUCUAUAGCCGAUGCCGAUGUUUAGAGGUCAGGGUCAGCCGAUGGCCGAUAUGUGCUGCCGAUUUUUAGGGCCGAUAUCUUGGAGUUUUCCUCUUGAUUUGCAUGCAAAAAUGUCACACUAAUUGUCUAAAGUCAAUCAUUU